rnacentral:rRNA from 1 species
CGCUUCUUGCAAAAACAACGAAUAAGAAGCCUCGCCUGCCCUGUGACUAUAUGUUUAACGGCCGCGGUAUUUUGACCGUGCGAAGGUAGCGCAAUCACUUGUCUCUUAAAUGGGGACCCGUAUGAAUGGCACAACGAGGGCUUAACUGUCUCCUUUCUCAAGUCAAUGAAAUUGACCUCCCCGUGCAGAGGCGGGCAUAAAGACAUAAGACGAGAAGACCCUAUGGAGCUUCAGACAUAAAACAGCUCAUGUCAAUCACCUUAAAACAAAAAAACAAACUAAAUAAGCCCUGUUCAAAUGUCUUUGGUUGGGGCGACCGCGGGGUAACAAGCAACCCCCAUGUAGAAUAAAAACACCCUUUUUUAAACCAAGAAUAACCACUCUAAUAAACAGAACCUCUGACUAACCAUGAUCCGGCUCAACCGAUCAACGAACCGAGUUACCCUAGGGAUAACAGCGCAAUCCUCUUUUAGAGUCCAUAUCGACAAGAGGGUUUACGACCUCGAUGUUGGAUCAGGACAUCCUAAUGGUGCAGCCGCUAUUAAGGGUUCGUUUGUUCAACGAUUAAAGUCCU